ensembl:lncRNA
AUGGCAGAAAACAAUGAGCCAGUGUCCUUCACAAACUUGGCUGUUGUUAUGAAGUAUAUGGACCCAAAUAUGAAAUUAUCAGAAGCUCAAAUCUGGGCUUCAGAUCUUCAAAAAUGCAUGUCUGACAUGCAUUAUAAUAAAUCUUGUAUCUUGCUAGCAUUCUCCGAAGAAGCACUUUCUUGUGGUUUGCGGUGUCCGGGUACUGCAAAGGAAAAAAUCCAGGCUGUUAUUGACUACGAGGAAUGUCAUCCUCCACCGUCGCAUUCCUACUCCCUUGAUUCCUUUUAUACAUCUCCACAUCGUAUUGUAAACGAAUUGCUUGAAGCUAUAAAAGGAAAUGUAGAUUAUGUGGAAGCUGCUGAAUCAAGUGAUGAUUGUGACAUCUCAACAUUAUCCCCUGAUGUGGUACUACUUGCUGCUCAGACUUUCAUGUUUCGAAACAAACAUUACAAUGCUUCUGAUGAAGAGGCUCUCCAAGCUUUCCAUAAAGCCAUGCAAUAUCUAAAAGGGGAGCAACGAACAUCGACUGAAUUCAUAAAUUGUUAUAGCAGUGAGCUCUCAAAGAUUAUCCGAUGUGUAAACCGGCAUUUCACAGAAGAAAGCAUAGACAUAUUUGGCUUUAGAAUAGCUAAAAAUGUGAUGGAUAGUAUGAAUCAAGGUAAAGAGCCUCCAAAACCAGACAGAUUUCUUAAUUCGUGGGAUGUAUACUUGCUCUCCGAAGUUGAUUGGGAAAAGGCUUACAAUAUGAUGAAAGAAGAAAAUUUUAGAAAUAAGAGUGAUGAUUACAUAAUUCCAGUGUGGGAGAGGGUGGAGCAAAAGUGUUUCCGCUGGUACAUGUUUCGUGCACAAGAUAAACACAACAGGAAGGAAUAUUAUGCCAUGCAAUUAAAAAAGGCUGUUACAAUCCAAGGUAUAUUUUAUGAAGUUGAUGGUGAUUUCAUAGACAGCGAAGAUCCUGCACUUCUGAAAACAUUUCAAGAUGGCAAAAUAAAUGGGCAAUGUUAUACUGAAUUCCAGGGGACUUCUGCUUAUUGCUGGAGCAGAGAUGGCACACCUCCUGCUCACCCAUACUCCAUCGUGGCUCAACUCUACUGGCCUCAUAUCCCACGCAAUUUAAACUACCAAGUGGAACAAAUCACAGAUCAAGAGGCACUAACAGUACUUUAUGAUGAGAUGCCUGCUCUAGAGGAAAAACGAAAAACUGAUCCUAAAACAUACACUUGGUUUUUGAACAAACCAGAGAAUGCUAUUAAUGACUUCCCAGAACUGAAAGAUUAUUCUGAGGGUCAGACUUUCUCUGAUGAUUACUUGCGUCCUUCAACAGAACCCCUUCAGACAGAUGGCUUUACCUAUGAGUGGUCAAGAGAAGAACACGAAACCACACACAGAGACUUCACCUUAAUAUUCAGAGCGAGGCCAACCUGUGAAAGAGUUCCUCAGGUCAUUACAAAGGAAACGAGAAUAAGAUUUGAUUACUGGCAGUAUAUCAAAGAGUUUGUCUUCUUUGGUGGGUCACAUCGUGAAGGAACAGUGCUUGCCCCGGAUCCAGCUUGGAUUGAUCAGGCACACAGGAAUGGGGUCGCCAUAUUUGGCACCGUUUUUUUGCCUCCUCUGGCAAAUGGGGGAGAUGUGAAAGACAUGGAAGAACUGGCAAAACUGGAGAACCUGCAGAAACUAGUGGACAUCGCCCACCAAUUAAACUUCGAAGGGUGGUUUCUGAAUACUGAAAGCUACAGAGACUAUAAUGAUUCUUGUUUAAAUACGCUGAAACUUGCAAUUCAGAAAAUGGAUCUCAGGGGUAAACAAAUGAUCUGGUAUUUACCCAGUUGUCAUCAAAGCGAUCACUUUGAUCCAGAAUCAAAAGGUGCAAGGAUGACGUGUGAUGGCAAAAUCAAUAAUACAGCACCUGCCUUUCUGGAAGAAGAGGGAAAAAAGUUGUAUUUGAAUUUUCAUAAUCUGGUUUGGAGUGUGUUUCUUAAUCAAGCUCCUCGGAGUUACCUCAUGUUUGUUGAUGAACCCUUUUGGAAAAACACACUAAAACACAGAGGAUAUUUAGUAGACCCUGUUAGAUUUCCACAUGCGCAGAACUGUCUUUGGCAGUUUUUUCUAGGAGAAAACGGUCUGGAAAGAAAACCAACAGAUCUGUAUCCCUGGUACGGAAUUGCUAAAUACGCAAAACAAAGAAAAUAA